rnacentral:rRNA from 1 species
UAGUAUACAUAACAAAACUAUUCGCCAGAGAUACUACUCGCAACUGCCUAAAACUCAAAGGACUUGGCGGUGCUUCACAUCCACCUAGAGGAGCCUGUUCUAUAAUCGAUAAACCCCGAUAGACCUUACCAACCCUUGCCAAUUCAGCCUAUAUACCGCCAUCUUCAGCAAACCAAGG